UAAUACGUAGGGGGCGAGCGUUGUCCGGAAUUAUUGGGCGUAAAGAGCGUGUAGGCGGUUCGGUAAGUCUGCCGUGAAAACCUGGGGCUCAACCCUGGGCGUGCGGUGGAUACUGCCGGGCUAGAGGGUGGUAGAGGCGAGUGGAAUUCCCGGUGUAGCGGUGAAAUGCGCAGAUAUCGGGAGGAACACCAGUAGCGAAGGCGGCUCGCUGGGCCACACCUGACGCUGAGACGCGAAAGCGUGGGGAGCGAACAGGAUUAGAUACCCUGGUAGUCCACGCCGUAAACGAUGGACACUAGGUGUGGGCGGAGUCGAAUCUGUCCGUGCCGAAGCCAACGCGAUAAGUGUCCCGCCUGGGGAGUACGGCCGCAAGGCU
rnacentral:rRNA from 1 species